rnacentral:rRNA from 1 species
AACGCGGCCAUCAUACGCCGACCCCACGAGUGCUCGUGGGUGAAGACAUAGUCUAACUCCGGGCGUAAGCCUGGGUAAAGUUGCGAUGUCGGCUCUUCCCAUCCUGGUCCUGCAGCAGGGGCCAAGGGUGGGGCUGCUCGCCCAUUAAAGGGGAACGUGAGCUGGGUUUAGACCGUCGUGAGACAGGUCGGCCUCUACCUGAUGGAAGCGGUGGUUCACUGAGGGGAAGCCCUGCCCAGUACGAGAGGAACAGCGGGGCGUUGCCUCUGGCGUACCGGUCGUCCGAGAGGGCGUCGCCGGGCAGCUAAGCAAUUGUGGAUAACCGCUGAAAGCAUCUAAGCGGGAAGCCACUCCCGAGAAGAGUUGGCCUUAGGCCUUAACCUCCGGCGCAAGCUGGAGGAGCGGGCCUUGGAGCGCAGCGAUAGAAGAUCGCGUUGAAGGACCAGCGGUGUACGCAAGAAGCUUCGGCGACUUGUUCAGCCGGUCUGGCACCUAUAGCGCAACGCAGGAUGAGU